rnacentral:rRNA from 1 species
ACUCCUACGGGAGGCAGCAGUAGGGAAUCUUCCACAAUGGACGCAAGUCUGAUGGAGCAACGCCGCGUGAGUGAAGAAGGUUUUCGGAUCGUAAAGCUCUGUUGUUGGUGAAGAAGGAUAGAGGUAGUAACUGGCCUUUAUUUGACGGUAAUCAACCAGAAAGUCACGGCUAACUACGUGCCAGCAGCCGCGGUAAUACGUAGGUGGCAAGCGUUGUCCGGAUUUAUUGGGCGUAAAGCGGGCGCAGGCGGAAAAAUAAGUCUAAUGUGAAAGCCCUCGGCUUAACCGAGGAACUGCAUCGGAAACUGUUUUUCUUGAGUGCAGAAGAGGAGAGUGGAACUCCAUGUGUAGCGGUGGAAUGCGUAGAUAUAUGGAAGAACACCAGUGGCGAAGGCGGCUCUCUGGUCUGCAACUGACGCUGAGGCUCGAAAGCAUGGGUAGCGAACAGGAUUAGAUACCCUGGUAGUC